rnacentral:tRNA from 1 species
GGAUAGUUGCCGGAAUCGGUCAACGGGCCGGCUUGGAAAGCCGGUGUUGCGCAAGCGACAUAGGGGUUCGAGCCCCCUGCUAUCCGCCA